rnacentral:tRNA from 1 species
CCGACCUUAGCUCAGUUGGAAAGAGCAUCAGACUGUAAUUGGAUACUCGAGGGCAUCUGAGGGUCGCCUGUUUGAGCCAGGCAGGUCGGA